ACAUGCCUACAAUAUAGAGUUAAUGCAAUAGAUCCCAUUAGAACUCUGCAGUUAAGUGUUCCCAGGCUAGAGUAGUAUUGGGAUGGGUGACCUCUUGGGAAUUCCUAGUAUUUUACAUGCC
rnacentral:rRNA from 1 species